CCUACGGGAGGCAGCAGUGGGGAAUAUUGGUCAAUGGGCGCAAGCCUGACCCAGCAACGCCGCGUGAAGGAAGAAGGCUUUCGGGUUGUAAACUUCUUUUCUCAGGGACGAAGCAAGUGACGGUACCUGAGGAAUAAGCCACGGCUAACUACGUGCCAGCAGCCGCGGUAAUACGUGGGUGGCAGGCGUUAUCCGGAUUUACUGGGUGUAAAGGGCGUGUAGGCGGGACUGCAAGUCAGAUGUGAAAACCACGGGCUCAAACUGUGGCCUGCAUUUGAAACUGUAGUUCUUGAGUACUGGAGAGGCAGACGGAAUUCCUAGUGUAGCGGUGGAAUGCGUAGAUAUUAGGAGGAACAUCAGUGGCGAAGGCGACUUUCUGGACUGUAACUGACGCUGAGGCACGAAAGUGUGGGGAGCAAACAGGAUUAGAUACCCUAGUAGUC
rnacentral:rRNA from 1 species